CCUACGGGAGGCAGCAGUGAGGAAUAUUGGUCAAUGGGCGGAAGCCUGAACCAGCCAAGUAGCGUGCAGGAUGACGGCCCUACGGGUUGUAAACUGCUUUUAUACGGGAAUAACGCGCCUUACGUGUAGGGCUUUGCAUGUACCGUACGAAUAAGGACCGGCUAAUUCCGUGCCAGCAGCCGCGGUAAUACGGAAGGUCCGGGCGUUAUCCGGAUUUAUUGGUGUGAAAGGGGGCGUAGGGCGGAUGUCAAGCGUGCUGUGAAAUGUCCGGGCUCAACCCGGGCCUUGCAGCGCAGACUGGCGGACUUGAGUCCGCGGGAGGCAGGCGGAAUUCGUCGUGUAGCGGUGAAAUGCUUAGAUAUGACGAAGAACCCCGAUUGCGAAGGCAGCUUGCUGCAGCGGAACUGACGCUGAGGCUCGAAAGCGCGGGUAUCGAACAGGAUUAGAUACCCCUGUAGUC
rnacentral:rRNA from 1 species